GAUAUACUCCCUCCGUCUGGAAAUACUUGUUCGAGGAAUGAAUGUAUCUAUAUGUAUUUUAGUUUUAGAUGCAUCCAUUCUUAUCCAUUUUCACGAUAAGUAUUUUCAAACAGAGGGAGUACUAU
rfam:Triticum aestivum genome assembly, contig: Triticum_aestivum_CS42_TGACv1_scaffold_592456_7BS